CAUGGUAGCAUUCACUCACUUGUUUUUAUUAUCACAGAUUAUUGGUAUUUGUGUAGCGACGGCCGUCGCUUGGUGUCAGUAAUCAGUUCAAAACAAUCUGUUUUACGUUUAAUAAUUGUGUUGUGAAAAUGAAUCCUGAGAUUUAUGUUAAAGGACAAAUUGAAUAUUUCGAUUAUGAAAAAUGUAAAGCAGCGUUUAAGAAGAUUCAAUAUAAUUACAUCAAAAGGAAUAGUGAAGGUAUAGUCGCAGGCAAAGUAAGUUUUUGGACACGCGAGAAAGUAGAGAUUUACAUUGACAUAAUACUGGAUUAUAAAAAGAAGAAAGAAUCGUACAGCCAUGACGAAGAUGUUUCCAGGUACGAUGCCAUAAAAAAAAAUGGGGUGUACAUACUUGUGUUAAAAGGGAAGACAUUUCGUGGUAACCACAUCGAAGUAGUGCCAUUUGAGGAUUGUUUCGAUAAAAUUGUAUACAUCGCGCUUGUAACGUCUGCAACAGUUCCGCGCCAUUAGAAGUAAGUGAACUAAAAACCGACAAAGUCAAGAAUCAGAACAAGUUCAAUAAAAUUUAUCAAGCCACAGUUAUAAACAUGAAAGAAACGGACAACGAACCUAAAUAUUCAGCGUUACUGGUACUAAGUGAUAAAUAUACAAAUUUCGUAUUUAUGCGACCACUACCGAAGAUACAUGAAGACUUUAUUGCUAUCGAGCUUGUCAAAUUAUUCGCUGACUAUGGACAUCCUUGUAUAAUAGAGACUACACUAAAAGCGAUAUUUAGCCCAGUAAUAAAGUUGCUUCCGAAUUUCGGUAAUGCAUUUACGAUUAAUAUAAUACAAUCGCCUUUUACGGAUAAUUCGUGGCACCAGCGAGCCUUGGUGUACCUGCAGGAGUGGAUGAGCAUCAAUGAGACUGAGAACUGGGUAAGCGGGUGCCCUAUUGUCCAGUGGCAACUAAACAAUUUGCGCCGCCGCGACAACACCACUCCUUACAAACAAGUUUUUGGUGUAGAUCCCGUGAGAGAUUUAAUCACCUCAUACACGAAGCUAUAAAUACUACUUAGAUGGUACCUACCUACUAAGGCUGGAGAUGUUACUAUCGCGCCAAGUAGCAUCUUCAGCAGGGCUAGGAUGCGCGCCAUGAUAACUUAUCUACUAAUUUAGACGAUUAAUGUUUGGGCUCAUUAUGCAAAAUCGAUAAAAUGCCUCGAUAAAAGUUCGUCGCGACGCGACGCGCAUUCUAGACCUACUGGACUAAGCGGUUUAUUGUGGCAUAGCAGUGAUAAAAUGUGAAAUUUAAUAACAUUAAAAGCAAUAACUAUAGAUUUUAAUGUAAUAACGACUAAGAAUAAAGAGUAUAAUUCUA